UCUUUGGGUACUUAUAAUGUAAAAUAAUGAAAAAAAAUUCUCGAACUCAAAUUUUGUGAACCAGGGGGGGGUGUCCUUCCCAACAAACUAAAAAUGGCUCGCGCACAAAAUUUAAAAGCUGUAAUCAUAUUUUGAGUUAAUAGAUUGAACAUUUGUCGGGUUUUUAAUUACUGUACAAAAUUUCAGACAAUUUGGUUUAGUUUAAGCCC
rnacentral:lncRNA from 1 species